UUUGACCUCGGAUCAGGUAGGAAUACCCGCUGAACUUAAGCAUACAAA
rnacentral:rRNA from 1 species